GAUGAACGCUGGCGGCGUGCCUCAAACAUGCGAAGUCGAGCGGGGCUAUGUAAUAUCGCAAGGUAGAACAUAGCCUAGCGGCGAACGGGUGAGUAACACGUGGGUAACCUGCCUGGAAGACAGGGAUAACGAUUCGAAAGGGUCGCUAAUACCUGAUAAUAUCCUUUCAUCGCAUGGUGAUAGGAAGAAAGGGGAAACCCGCUUUCAGAUGGGCCCGCGUCCCAUCAGCUAGUUGGUAAGGUAAAGGCUUACCAAGGCGACGACGGGUAGCCGGUCUGAGAGGAUGUACGGCCACACUGGGACUGAGAUACGGCCCAGACUCCUACGGGAGGCAGCAGUUGGGAAUCUUAGGCAAUGGACGAAAGUCUGACCUAGCGACGCCGCGUGAGGGAAGAAGGCCUUCGGGUUGUAAACCUCUGUCAUGGGGGAAGAAGUAAGUGACGGUACCCCAAGAGGAAGCCCCUGCUAACUACGUG
rnacentral:rRNA from 1 species